GGUAAACGCUGGCGGCGUGCCUAAAACAUGCAAGUCGAACGGACACUCGCAAGGGUGUCAGUGGCAGACGGACUGAGUAACGCGUGGGUGACGUGCCGAUAGGUGGGGAAUAACUGCCCGAAAGGGUGGCUAAUACCGCAUACGUCCACUGAUUCAGUUCAGUGGGGAAAGCUUCGCAAGAGGCGCCGAUAGAGCGGCCCGCGUUCGAUUAGCUAGUUGGUGGGGUAACGGCCUACCAAGGCGACGAUCGAUAGCUGGUCUCAGAGGAUGAUCAGCCAGACUGGGACUGAGACACGGCCCAGACUCCUACGGGAGGCAGCAGGUUAGGAAUUUUGGGCAAUGGGCGCAAGCCUGACCCAG
rnacentral:rRNA from 1 species